CUAACCAGGAUUCCCCUAGUAACGGCGAGUGAAGCGGGAUGAGCUCAAAUUUGUAAUCUGGCGGUCUUUGGCCGUCCGAGUUGUAGUCUGGAGAAGCGUUUUCCGUGUCGGACCGUGUACAAGUCCCUUGGAACGGGGCGUCGCAGAGGGUGAGAAUCCCGUCUUUGACACGGAUCGCCGAUGCUUUGUGAUGCGCUCUCAAAGAGUCGAGUUGUUUGGGAAUGCAGCUCAAAAUGGGUGGUAAAUUCCAUCUAAAGCUAAAUAUGGGCGAAAGACCGAUAGCGAACAAGUACCGUGAGGGAAAGAUGAAAAGCACUUUGGAAAGAGAGUUAAACAGUACGUGAAAUUGUUGAAAGGGAAACGCUUGAAGUCAGUCGCGUCUCCUGGGACUCAGCCUUGGCUUUCAUCGGCCCUGGCGUACUUCCCGGGGUGACGGGCCAGCAUCGAUUUUGACUGUCGGAGAAAGGCUUUGGGAAUGUGGCAUCCCCAUUGUGGGAUGUGUUAUAGCCCUGGGUCGCAUGCGACGGUUGGGAUCGAGGAUCGCAGCACGCCUUCAUUGGCCGGGGUUCGCCCACGUAACGUGCUUAGGAUGCUGGCGUAAUGGCUUUAAGCGACCCGUCUUG
rnacentral:rRNA from 1 species